rnacentral:rRNA from 1 species
UCGUAACAAGGUUUCCGUAGGUGAACCUGCGGAAGGAUCAUUACCGAGUUUUCGGGCUUCGGCUCGACUCUCCCACCCUUUGUGAACGUACCUCUGUUGCUUUGGCGGCUCCGGCCGCCAAAGGACCUCCAAACUCCAGUCAGUAAACGCAGACGUCUGAUAAACAAGUUAAUAAACUAAAACUUUCAACAACGGAUCUCUUGGUUCUGGCAUCGAUGAAGAACGCAGCGAAAUGCGAUAAGUAAUGUGAAUUGCAGAAUUCAGUGAAUCAUCGAAUCUUUGAACGCACAUUGCGCCCCUUGGUAUUCCGGGGGGCAUGCCUGUUCGAGCGUCAUUACAACCCUCAAGCUCUGCUUGGAAUUGGGCACCGUCCUCACUGCGGACGCGCCUCAAAGACCUCGGCGGUGGCUGUUCAGCCCUCAAGCGUAGUAGAAUACACCUCGCUUUGGAGCGGUUGGCGUCGCCCGCCGGACGAACCUUCUGAACUUUUCUCAAGGUUGACCUCGGAUCAGGUAGGGAUACCCGCUGAACUUAAGCAUAUCAA